GGACAUGUCUCUCAGCAAUGUAUAUCUCAGCUCUCGCAUCGAUGAAAAGUGUAGUGAAAUGCGAUACGUGGUAAGAAUUGUAGAAUCCUGUGAACCAUCGAGUCUUUGAACGCAAGUUGCGCCUGAGGCCAGUCGGCCGAGGGCACGUCCGCCUAGGCGUCAAG
rnacentral:rRNA from 1 species